rnacentral:rRNA from 1 species
UAGCGACAGGCUUAACACAUGCAAGUCGAGGGGCAGCACAGGUAGCAAUACCGGGUGGCGACCGGCGCACGGGUGAGUAACGCGUAUGCAACUUACCUAUCAGAGGGGGAUAACCCGGCGAAAGUCGAGACUAAUACCGCAUGAAGCAGGGGCCCCGCAUGGGGAUAUUUGCUAAAGAUUCAUCGCUGAUAGAUAGGCAUGCGUUCCAUUAGGCAGUUGGCGGGGUAACGGCCCACCAAACCGACGAUGGAUAGGGGUUCUGAGAGGAAGGUCCCCCACAUUGGUACUGACACACGGACCAAACUCCUACGGGAGGCAGCAGUGAGGAAUAUUGGUCAAUGGCCGAGAGGCUGAACCAGCCAAGUCGCGUGAGGGAUGAAGGUUCUAUGGAUCGUAAACCUCUUUUAUAAGGGAAUAAAGUGCGGGACGUGUCCCGUUUUGUAUGUACCUUAUGAAUAAGGAUCGGCUAACUCCGUGCCAGCAGCCGCGGUAAUACGGAGGAUCCGAGCGAUAUCCGGAUUUAUUGGGUUGAAAGGGUGCGUGCGCGGCCUUUUAAGUCUGCGUUGAAAGUCUGUGGCUCAACCAUAGAAUUGCCGUUGAAACUGGGGGGCUUGAGUAUGUUGAUGGCAGGCGGAAUGCGUGGUGUAGCGGUGAAAUGCAUAGAUAUCACGCAGAACCCCGAUUGCGAAGGCAGCCUGCCAAGCCAUUACUGACGCUGAUGCACGAAAGCGUGGGGAUCAAACAGGAUUAGAUACCCUGGUAGUCCACGCAGUAAACGAUGAUCACUAGCUGUUUGCGAUACACUGUAAGCGGCACAGCGAAAGCGUUAAGUGAUCCACCUGGGGAGUACGCCGGCAACGGUGAAACUCAAAGGAAUUGACGGGGGCCCGCACAAGCGGAGGAACAUGUGGUUUAAUUCGAUGAUACGCGAGGAACCUUACCCGGGUUUGAACGCAUUCGGACCGAGGUGGAAACACCUUUUCUAGCAAUAGCCGUUUGCGAGGUGCUGCAUGGUUGUCGUCAGCUCGUGCCGUGAGGUGUCGGCUUAAGUGCCAUAACGAGCGCAACCCUUGCCACUAGUUACUAACAGGUGAUGCUGAGGACUCUGGUGGGACUGCCAGCGUAAGCUGCGAGGAAGGCGGGGAUGACGUCAAAUCAGCACGGCCCUUACAUCCGGGGCGACACACGUGUUACAAUGGCGUGGACAAAGGGAGGCCACCUGGCGACAGGGAGCGAAUCCCCAAACCACGUCUCAGUUCGGAUCGGAGUCUGCAACCCGACUCCGUGAAGCUGGAUUCGCUAGUAAUCGCGCAUCAGCCAUGGCGCGGUGAAUACGUUCCCGGGCCUUGUACACACCGCCCGUCAAGCCAUGGGAGCCGGGGGUACCUGAAGUCCGUAACCGAAAGGAUCGGCCUAGGGUAAAACUGGU